rnacentral:misc_RNA from 1 species
ACAAACUUGGUCAUUUAGAGGAAGUAAAAGUCGUAACAAGGUUUCCGUAGGUGAACCUGCGGAAGGAUCAUUACCAAUUUGUCCACUGGCAACCUCUGUGCACUGUUUCUGCUUGUGCUGGUCGUGCUGUUGAAUGUGUUGUUGAGUGGUGUGUCCGUUUGGAUGCCGUUCACGGGGCUUUUGCAGCUUUGCGCCACGCAAGCAGUUUUACACAACCUGUUUAUGUUUGCAAGGAUUCUUGGUCAAAAGAAUUCUGUUGUCUGAAACUGUAUUUUCAAUUCGAUAUGAAUGAAAAAAUAGAUAACUUUUAACAACGGAUCUCUUGGCUCUCGCAUCGAUGAAGAACGCAGC